UGGAGCAGGUGUGUGUGAAGCUUAUAUUUACUCCUGUAGGCUCCAGAUCCCUGAGCACUGACUCAUUAGCUCACCUUCUGAGGUGGUGAGAGGUCGGCCUUGUGUUGGCGGCAUAGCGUGUGUCUGCAUGAACGCCACGUUCUCCUUCAGUGUGUUUAACUUGUGUUUCAUGUUUCAGGAAGAAGGAAGCUGGUUGACACUUGUCCUGCAUGAUCAGGUUUCAGUUCUUUUAUCUGAGCCUUGUUUCGUUGAGGGAGCUCUGCAUCUCAGCUCCAUGUGAUUUAGGUUCCCCUCUCUCCUCUCAGCGCUUGUGGUUGUUGUGGUUAUUCCUUCAGGGGAACUUUAAGAACCCCUUUGUCCCCAUGAGUCCUACUUCCCCUUGGAUCCUAAAAGCAGCACAUGGUAGAGGAAGUCCUGGCUGGUUGUUAAUUGCUCAAUGCUAGCCGUGGUUAAAUGUAAUUUUACUUCCAUGAUUUCUUAUUUUUGGAGUAAACUCGAGUCGGACAUGUUUGUUCUGAAACAGUGUUUUUCCUGAAUUGAAGCAAAGGGACCAAAACAACCUCAGCGCUGCUCUCACAGAAAACUCCUCUCUCCACACACGGCUGUAUUUUUGUACUUUUGGCUUCCCUUGUGUCAUUUCCAACACAAGAACAGAGGUGGAUUGUGGGUAAAUCCCUCAUGCACAGUGUGCAGAGCUGCAGGAGCUGCAGGAGUUCAGACGCCUCCACGACCCCACAGAUAAUCUGAACGUGUGGAGGAGUGUCCCAAACAUCCCGUCAGACGGGUUCAUCGUUUUCUGGAGGAAGAUUUUCACAUUUUUCAACGUGACUCUGUUCCAGAAACACAGAGACAUGAAUGGAUGUAGUGUCCGUGACUUCACCGCCUGAAGCCGAUCAUGCUGAACUCAAUCCAACGUCCGUCAAGCUUUUUAAACACUUUAAGAGUUUGAAGACUUUUCAGGAACUUUCUCUUUUAAAUAUUAAAACAGAAAAAAACAAGCUGUGACUUUUUCUCUCUGAGGAAAAACAAAAAGGUUUGAGUUCAUGUCAGAGAUUAAACACAGAUCAUACACUGACUUAAAACAUCAACAUCUGUCUGAGUCAGAGGAUUAUUAACUCCCUCAGAUUAUUAACCCCUUCAGCUCUGACACACACUCUCCAUAAAUACCCCUCUUUGGAUCAGUCCUCAUAUUACCAUUCUUACAUUAAUGCUGUUGUUAACCUACAUAUUUCACAUUAAAGCAUUAGCUUCUGUUUUUGGUUCUUGUUGACGUAUUUUGGUGUAAAGUGUUUGUUUUGAGGGUUUCUUUGUUUACUCUUGAAGUCUGUGUGUUUGUUUACUGAAUGUACUUCCUGUGUUUGUGUUUGAGGUCACUGGAUUAAAUAAAGAGAUCGCUGCUUUAAAUAUGUUCCAAAAACACGAGUGACACGUCAUCCCUGACAUUCAACUCUCUCUCUGAAAAAUCCUCUCAGGACACAUCAGGAGUUUUCUGAUUCAAAACA